GGUUGUAUAGUGUAGCGGUUAUCACUCCGGAUUCUGAUUUCUUUAGAACAUUCCGGCAACCCCGGUUCGAUUCCGGGUACGACCU
rnacentral:tRNA from 2 species